GACGAACGCUGGCGGCGUGCUUAACACAUGCAAGUCGAGCGGUAAGGCCCUUUCGGGGGUACACGAGCGGCGAACGGGUGAGUAACACGUGGGUGACCUGCCCUCAGCUCUGGGAUAAGCCUGGGAAACCGGGUCUAAUACUGGAUAUGACUCCAUGACGCAUGUUGUGGGGUGGAAAGCCUUGUGCGGCUGAGGAUGGGCCCGCGGCCUAUCAGCUUGUUGGUGGGGUGAUGGCCUACCAAGGCGACGACGGGUAGCCGGCCUGAGAGGGCGACCGGCCACACUGGGACUGAGACACGGCCCAGACUCCUACGGGAGGCAGCAGUGGGGAAUUUUUCGCAAUGGGGGCAACCCUGACGAAGCAACGCCGCGUGGGGAUGAAGGUCUUCGGAUCGUAAACCCCUGUCGACCGGGACGAAAGCACCCGACCUAACACGUCGGUGUGUUGACUGUACCGGUGGAGGAAGCCACGGCUAACUCUGUGCCAGCAGCCGCGGUAAU
rnacentral:rRNA from 1 species